UACGUAGGGACCAAGCGUUGUUCGGAUUUACUGGGCGUAAAGGGCGCGUAGGCGGCUUGUCAAGUCACUUGUGAAAUCUCUGGGCUUAACCCAGAACGGCCAAGUGAAACUGACAUGCUAGAGUGCGGAAGGGGCAAUCGGAAUUCUCGGUGUAGGGGUGAAAUGCGUAGAUAUCGAGAGGAAAAACUGAGGUGAAGGCGGGUUGCUGGGCCGACACUGACGCUGAGUGCGCGAAAGCCAGGGGAGCAAACGGG
rnacentral:rRNA from 1 species